rnacentral:lncRNA from 1 species
UUUUCACAACACUCUCUGCUCCGCUGUGCUGGGGUCGCUUGCACGUGGGUUAGUUGGUAGCAACACAGAGUGGCCUGAUGGUUCCACGUUUCUGGAUUGGGGAGGGGUAGUUUGAGCGCAGAAAACUGGGACAUCUUCACAAAUUCAGGGGAUAUCUGUGGCUUGGGCAUCUUGGCCUGUGUCUAAAGUACCCACACAAGCAGGAGAUGCUGUCACACCUCCCCACACAUUCGCUGAGGCCGCACCGCACACAGGGCUGUGACAGAGCCAGGCUGGUGGGAGUUGCAGGCACAGGUCUGGGGCAUAAGGCUCCCUUUGUGCUGUUUAUUCUCAGUUCACAGGGUUCUGCGAUUGGACGACGGCUCUGAAAGUCUCCCCACCUGAGACUCUCCCAUGACGGCGCUGUGGGCCUGAGUCACGGCGGGCGCGGAGGCGGAGGAGUGAUGGGCAGAGCUGGGCUUCUCUGGGUGCGGGCACCUCCCCACCUCCCUGCAGGAGAGCAUGCAGAGGGCGGGAGGCCCCUGCACACUGGCCGCCUCUCAGAGCCUCAAGGAGGCUUAAAACUAAAAGGCAAAGCCUGGACAUAAACUUUGUUUGGGAGUUUCCAUCGUGGCUCAGCAGGUAUGAACCCAACUAGUAUCCAUGAGGAUGUGGGUUCGAUUCCUGGCCUCACUCAGUGGGUUAAGGAUCCGGCAUUGCUGUAGCUGUGGUGUAGGUCACAGAUGCGCCUUGGACCUGACGAUGCCGUGGCUGUGGCGUAGGCCAGCAGCUGUAGCUCCGAUUAGACCCCUAGCCUGGGAACCUCCACAUGCCAGGGAUGUAGCCUUGGAAAGCAAAAAAAAAAAAACCAACCAAAGCAAACCAACCAACAAAAACACUUUGCUAGGAAGAGGAUGCCAAGGAGGCCUGUCCUGGUUCCUGGCUUCUCAGAGCUGGCAAAACCAAAACCUGUGAGUUUAUUACAAGCACAGAAUCCCUGGUCCUGCCCGGUUGCCCAGAUCCACAGAAUCUGAAUCUGCAUUUCAGCAGAUCUCCAGGUGGGUCAUAUGCACCUAGCCGCUUCAGUGUUUCAGUCCAGAUCUGGGAAGACGGCACAGCCAAGGAUGGGGAUGGGGAUAUGGAAGGGGAGGGAGCUCACAACCACGCCAUGAAGCGGCCAAUGGAAAGGACUGAAUCGGGGCAUCCCGGGCCGCCAGCGCAUCUCUGCUUUUUCUGGAACCAUCUGCCUCCGUAACUCUAACAACAGCCAGCACUUCAACAGUGCCAGACGCACUUCCAGCGGCUGUGUGAAUUUACUGGAUGCUCACGACAGCCGUACGUGGUGACGACAAUUCUCUCCACUCCGCAGAUGCUGAGGGGAUGUGACUCCCCCGGGUCCACACAGCCCGCCAGCCCCAGACGAGGAUUCAGUCGACACUGGAGGCUUCGGCAUCGUGUUCUUAGGCUGCCUAGGAGCUUAAGCUGUUUGUAUCUGCUUUUUGUUCUCUGUGAGCAUUUUAAUAUUAACAUCCUAACUCCUGGCCCAGGAAAGGGGAGGGGACAGGGGUGUCCUGGCCCGUCGCCUCCCCUCCAGCCUCUUGCCCUCCCGUGUUUCACUGUCACGUGCAAGCUGGACGGCCAGGGACCGAGUCCCGCCUCCAGCGUGUUUGGCUUCGUCGGAAGGGUUUUAAAAACCAGAUGUUUGCACACAAAAGUUGUCCUGCUCAUGUGCGCUGCCACCUGCUUGCCACAGUCCCCACCGCUCCCUGAUGUCCUACACUGGGCCACACUCUGUAUUCACACACUCCCUCCACCUCCACACAGCAUUUCCCUGCUGUGGUCUCCUCUGAACCAGACUCCUCCUCGUCCCCAGGUCCCCCUCCCAGCGCAGCGGGGCCUGGAGCAGAGGAGCCGCCAGCUCCACGCUUCCUGCUCCGGGCCUCCGUGGGUCAGAGCGAAAUGGCGAGCAGGCUGGGAAGCAGGGCCUCGGAGGAGGGGCCUGGACGGGGGACCGAAGCUAGAACCCCAGACGCACGGAGGAGGCGUUCGUAAAAAGGCUGUAAAUCGUGGCGACAAAGACAAGUCCUGACUUCAGAGCAGGCAGCUGGGAAAGCCCCUCUCCUCCUGGAAUCACACCCGAGCACGUUCCAUGGACACCUGCCAUGGUGUCUCAAGCAGCCGAUUUCUUAAUAAGCGAAUUCAUUUUCUGCUGCCGCAUAGUCUCUCUCCUUCACGCACCAUCUGCUCUUUUGCGCACAUACCCGCGGGUCCCUUCCGAGACAGUCGCAGGUUUUGAAGGGGGAAUAAAUGUGCUUAAAAACCCCCGCCACCAGGAAGGCUGUUCUGUUCCCAACCCUCGCUGGUGCCAGAAAAGACGCUCAUACCUACGCUCCACUUUCCCAAAACGUGAGCAUUUGUGACGCACGCACUCAAGGUUAAAAUCAACUUUUGGAGGCAAUAAAGUCAGGCUCUCUUAAGGACAGUUCGGUAAAGCUGGUCCCACUGUGAUUCUUGGUUGGACAGACCAAAGUCCCCUAUUCUCCACCUGUUAAUUGGAGUCUGGAAUACAGCUAUGGUAAUAAAAGGUUUCAUACUAUUGGCCAUGAGCAGCUAAGUUCCAAAAACAAAUCUCCAUUUAAAGCAAGUGCUUAUUAGAAAAGGGAGCCUCCUACGCUGUUGAUGGGAAUGUAAACUGGUGCAGCCACUGGAGAGAACAGUAGGGAGCGUCCUCGAAAAACUCAGAACUAUUACAUGGCUGAGCAAUUCCACUCCUGCGUAUACACCUGAAAAAAAACCCCACUGAUGUGAAAAGAUACCUGCACCCCAAUGUUCACCGUAGCAUUAUUUACAGUAGCCAAGACAUGGAGGCACUAUAAAUGCCCAUCAACAGACGGAUGCAUAAAGAAGAUGUGGUACAUAUACACAAUGGAAUAUUACUCAGCUGUAAAAAAGAAUGAAAUUUUGCCAUUUGCAGCAACGUGGAUGGACGUGGAGGCCAUUAUGCUGAGUGAAUUAAGUCAGACAGAGAAAGGCAAGUGAUAUGACACCACUUAGAUGUAGAAUCUAAAAUACAACAAAUCAGUGAUUAUAAAAAGAAGCAUACUUAUAAAUAUAGAGAACGAGCAGUUACCAGUGGGCAAGGGGAGGGGGGAGGGGCAAGAGAGGGGACAGGGAUUAAGAGAUAUAAACCAUUAUAUGUAAAAUAAACUAUAAGGAUAUAUUGUACGACCCAAGGAAUACAGCCAAUAUUUUACAACUAUAAAUAAAAUACAACCUUUUUCUAUUUAUUUAUUUUGUCUUUUUAGGGCCACACCUGCAGCAUAUUGGAAGUUCCCAGGACUCAAAACGGAGCUGCAGCUUCCAGCCUACGCCACAGCCACAGCUACGCGGAUUCGGAGCUGCAUCUGUGACCUACACCACAGCUCAUGGCAAUGCUGGAUCCUUAACACACUGAGCGAGGCCAGGGAUCGAACCUGCCUCCUCAUGGAUGCUAGUCAGAUUCGUUCCCACUGAGCCACAAUGGGAACCCCCAGAACAUAACCUUUAAAAUUGCUCAUCGCUAGAUAGUCCACCUGCAACUUAUAUAAUAUUGUAACUAUUCCAAUAAAAUAAUGCAAGAAAAUAAUUAUGGAAGUGACUAUUUUAGAUCACUUUGGAGAACUGUGUAAGCAUAUUAAACAUUCUUGCAGCUUUUCCUUCUCGGGAAAAUAUCCCAAGGGGACAAUCUAGAGUCAGGUUAUCAUUUCUGGAAGGAAGAGAAAUGGAAGGUGAGAACUCUAUUGAGCCUGAAACACGAAAUUCUCUCAUUUCUGUCUCUCUUUCCUCUUCUGUAAUUCUCUCUUACUUCUCUGCUUCUCUCUCAAACACAGCCUGCUGACUCAGAUUUAAACCU